UUUUUAGCUACCUUGACUUCUCAUCAGGGUCUGGCACUGUCAUAUAUCAUAUGAGUAUUUAUUUACUAAAUCUCUCUUCCUUGUUUUUACUAAAUCUCUCUUCCUUGUUUUUACUAAAUCUCUCGUCCUUGUUUGUAUUGGUUUUAAUAUUAUGUAUUGUUUUUUGUACAGUUAUGGUUUACUCACUAUUUUUGCAAAUUUAUUGUUGUCUUUUGUGACAUACAUUAUGAUUUGAUGAAACAGA
rnacentral:lncRNA from 1 species